UACGUAGGGUGCGAGCGUUGUCCGGAAUUACUGGGCGUAAAGAGCUCGUAGGUGGUUUGUCGCGUUGUUCGUGAAAUCUCACGGCUUAACUGUGAGCGUGCGGGCGAUACGGGCAUACUAGAGUACUGCAGGGGAGACUGGAAUUCCUGGUGUAGCGGUGGAAUGCGCAGAUAUCAGGAGGAACACCAAAGGCGAAGGCAGUGUCCUGGGGAGUACCUGACGCUCAGGUGCGAAAGCCAGGGGAGCGAACGGG
rnacentral:rRNA from 1 species